CUCGUGAUCUGUGACGACAUUGACUUGGUCUCCUCCAGGUUGAGGGACCCAACGGGGCUGGCCGACGUGUCGUCGGACCCGCCGCUGCUCGCCUUGCCGGACCACAGCUUCCCCAGCACUCUCUUCACCGGCGCCGGCGCCACCGCACCGCCCUUGGCCUUCUUCCUGUCGCCGCCGCCGCCGCUUCUCCCGUUCUCGUUGGCCGACAGCUGGCUCAUGGACCGGAGCGAGCCGGCGUCGCCGGCGCCGCCCGACGUCGACGUCGUCACAGGCGCGCCCACCACGGCGCCGCUGCCCCACUGCUCGUCCUCCGUCGCCGUCGUGGUCGCCGACCUCGAGCUGCCGUACGACGCGCCGUCGUCCCUGGGCAGGAUGAGCGAGCGCGCGGGGGCGGCGGAGGCUGCCGCCGCCGCCGCCGACUGCCGGACCUGCUCGAAGAAGAGGACCUGUACCACCACGCGCAGGGGCAGCCGCUCGUUCUGCACGGCGUGCUCGCUCGCGUCCGCCGUCAGCUUCCUGCAGUCCAUCAGCGCGCACAGCCGCUUCUUCUCGCCCUUCGACAAGCCCGGAUGCUCCUGCGCGCGUGUGCACAGCAGAGAGAGAUUCGACAGCGCACAAUCGUACAAAGAUUUUUGCGCAUUCUUUUUAGCUACUGAAAUCGCAGAUUUUUGCGCAUUUCUGAAACUGAAAUUGCAGACAGAUAUGAUGCAGAAUUGCUUUCAGAGCAUAAUCUUGCGCGUGCAUACCUUGAGGUAAACGUCGAUGGCGCGGUAGAGCGCGUCGUGCACCGGGCGAGACAGGGGCGGCAUCGAUUCGGCGAGGGCGACGAACGUCUCCAGAGGAAGGCACGGGUCCUUGGCGAUCUCGGAGAGGUAUCCAUCGACCAGCUUUGCGACAGCGGCCAGCUUCGAAGAAGUGACCGGGUCGUCAGCGGCAACAUCCACGUCGUCCUCGCCAUCUUCCCGCUUCUCCGCCUCGGCCCCAUUUACCUUGUGAUGCAGCAAGAACUCCUCCAGCAUCGCAGCCACCAUGCCAACAUUGUACGUCGCGUCGCCGUCGCCGUCGCCGGAGUCCGCAGGUAUCAGAAGGUCCGGGACCGAAGCCCGUUCCAGCUGCGCGCCGAUCCUCCUGAUCAGCUCGCCGCGGUAGGCCUGACCGGACUCCAGUAGGCACGAGGCCCUGAGCAGCUUGAGAAGGAGGCCACAGGAGACCGACCCCUUCUCGGCCGGCAGCAGGUCGGCGACGGCUUCAAGAGCCGCGCGGUGCUUGGUGCAAUCGAGCCCGUCGCUGACGGCGUGGUCCAGGGACCCGAACAGCCGGCGGCACGCGUAGGCCCGCAGCGCCUCGCCGACGACGGCGCCGCCCGUCCUCCCCUUGGCCUUGAUCGCCAGGAUCACCUUCCUGUACAGGCACACCUCGAGGUCGCAGAGAUCCUCCACCCACCAGUCCCUCGGCACCGCCUGCCGCUUCCUGACGCCGUUCCAGCCGCGCGCGUCGCCGUCGGUCUCCGACGGGAGCUUCCUCCGGCUGUACGUGUACGACCAGUCGACCUCCGACGGGUCCGUGGACGCCCGGGAGGCGAUGGCGUCGACGCAGUGGUUGACCACCUUGAGGCUGUCCGUCCACCGCUGCAGCGGCCUCGUCGACUGCAGCACGAUGAUGGAGUCCUUCCAGGCCCGGAAGAUGCUGGCCGACAGGAACACGUCGAUCUUGUACACCAGGUUCCCCUUCUCCACCGUCUCCGACAUCUCCAGGUACUCCGCCGCGCACCGGGCGGCCAGCACGUUGUAGGCGUUGAGCGUCACCACCAUGCCGUAGCAGAACUUGGCACAGACCUCGAACGCCGCCGGGCCGCCCGGGAUGUCGGAGAUGUCCACCUCGUCGCUGCCCUCCUCGCUUGUCGAGGCCACCAGCGUUUGUAGGCGGGAGCUCUUGGACAGAAGAGGGAACUGUGUGUGUGUGUGUGUUGAAUUUUGAAACAGAACAUCUCUGAUCAGUCACAAGUUCAGUUUCAAUCACAGAAAAAACACGUAAUAAAUGUAAUGAAGCAUGUGUCAAGAACACUUUGUGUGCAAG
rnacentral:misc_RNA from 1 species